CUACGGACUUAAUUGUAUUGAGCCUUGGUAUGGAAACAUAUUAAGUGAAAACUUUCAAAUUCAGAGAAACCCUAGAAUUUUAAAUGGGCAAUCCUGAGCCAAAUCCUUCUUUCCGAAAACAAAAAACUAAAAGUUCAGAAAAAAAGGAUAGGUGCAGAGACUCAAUGGAAGCUAUUCUAACAAAUGGAGUUGACAACAUUCAAUUGAUUAAUGAAGAUUUCUAACUUCUAUUUGUAAAUUGUAACUAUUUUUUUUAGUUUUGAUUCGAUCACAAUUGAAACGAAACAUUAGAAUCAAAUCAAUUCCAACUGGAAGAAAAAAUGGUGAAUAUUCAUUGAUCAAAUCAGUCACUCCACCAAAAUAUGAUGGAUCUUUUGAAUAACUGAUUAAUCAGACGAGAAUAAAGAUAGAGUCCCAUUCUACAUGUCAAUACCGA
rnacentral:ncRNA from 1 species